rnacentral:rRNA from 1 species
CGGAGGGUGCAAGCGUUAUCGGAAUACUGGGCGUAAAGCGUGCGUAGGCGGUUGUUUAAGUCAGAUGUGAAAGCCCCGGGCUUAACCUGGGAACUGCAUUUGAUACUGGGCAACUAGAGUUGAGUAGAGGGGAGUGGAAUUUCAGGUGUAGCGGUGAAAUGCGUAGAGAUCUGAAGGAACACCAGUGGCGAAGGCGGCUCCCUGGACUCAAACUGACGCUGAGGUACGAAAGCGUGGGUAGCAAACAGGAUUAGAUACCCUGGUAGUCCACGCCGUAAACGAUGUCAACUAACUGUUGGGUUCUUUAAGAACUUAGUAGUGGAGCUAACGUAUUAAGUUGACCGCCUGGGGAGUACGGCCGCAAGGCUAAAACUCAAAUGAAUUGACGGGGGCCCGCACAAGCGGUGGAGCAUGUGGUUUAAUUCGAUGCAACGCGAAGAACCUUACCUACCCUUGACAUCCUCGGAACUUGUCAGAGAUGACUUGGUGCCUUCGGGAACCGAGAGACAGGUGCUGCAUGGCUGUCGUCAGCUCGUGUUGUGAAAUGUUGGGUUAAGUCCCGUAACGAGCGCAACCCUUAUCCUUAGUUGCCAGCGAGUAAUGUCGGGAACUCUAGGGAGACUGCCGGUGAUAAACCGGAGGAAGGUGGGGACGACGUCAAGUCAUCAUGGCCCUUAUGGGUAGGGCUACACACGUGCUACAAUGGCCGGUACAGAGGGCAGCGAAACCGUGAGGUCAAGCAAAUCCCACAAAGCCGGUCCCAGUCCGGAUUGCAGUCUGCAACUCGACUGCAUGAAGUCGGAAUCGCUAGUAAUCGCGGAUCAGAAUGCCGCGGUGAUACGUUCCCGGG